UGGCACCUUGAUGUCGGCUCAUCACAUCCUGGGGCUGUAGCCGGUCCCAAGGGUUUGGCUGUUCGCCAAUUAAAGUGGUACGUGAGCUGGGUUUAGAACGUCGUGAGACAGUUCGGUCCCUAUCUACCGUGGGCGUUGGAAAUUUGAGAGGAUCUGCUCCUAGUACGAGAGGACCAGAGUGGACGAACCUCUGGUGUACCGGUUGUC
rnacentral:rRNA from 1 species